UCGACUGUACUCGAACAGGAUCACUUAUGUAGUGAUUUCCUUCCGUUCACAAAAGUACUCUUGACAAAACCCUAAACCGUGAUGAGGAGAUGUAUACCCCACCCUAAUGGAGGUGUAGUCAGUACAGUCAUGUACUCGACUUCGAUGAUCCAUCCCAUAUGGGUUUUGGGGUGUGGGUAUUGCUGAACGGUU
rnacentral:snoRNA from 1 species